GUGUUGCGUGAAAGGGGGGGUCAACCCCUCCUUCUCAAGUAUGGACGAGGCCCUUAGGCCUAAUACCACGGACCGGCAAGGCACUGCCGUCGGCUUCGU
rnacentral:snRNA from 1 species